rnacentral:rRNA from 1 species
GAUGAACGCUAGCGGCAGGCCUAAUACAUGCAAGUCGAACGAGUUUAAGAGGCUUGCUUCUUAUGAAAGUGGCGCACGGGUGCGUAACGCGUAUGCAACCUACCUUUAUCAGGGGGAUAGCCCGAAGAACUUCGGCUUAUGACCCCAUAAAAACACAGGAUAGCAUUAUCCAUUUUUCAACUAUUUAUAGGCUUAUGAUGGGCAUGCGUGUCAUUAGCUAGUUGGCGGGGUAACGGCCCACCAAGGCGACGCUGACCAGGGGAUCGGAGAGGAUGACACACCACAAUGGUAAUGAGGCACGGACCAGACUGCGACGGGAGGCAGCAGUAAGGAAGACUGGGCGAUGGAGGGAACUCUGAACCAGCCAUGUCGGGUGAAAGAAGACAGGCAUCGGGGUCGUAAACUGCUUUUAUGCGAGAAGAAAAAUUUCUACGUGUAGGGAGCUGAAUGUACCGAAAGAAUAAGGACCGGCUAACUCCGUG